UUGGUGCUCUCAUUCUUACUGCCUCUUUUCUCCAUCUCUUGUUGUUUCGGCCGCCUCAAAACCGCCGCAACAACAGAUCAGAUCAUGGCUUUUGAUGUGAUCAUCAACAACAGCAGCAACAAAGAUAUCGCACAAUGAUUUCUUCUCCUCUCCAACACGAGUUGUAUAUUUUAGUGUCUACUUUUUCUGAGAUCUUUGCUCGUCAUUCCUCUCCUCCACUGGGUCUGCUACAAGAGGGUCAACUGGUUUUCUCUGACCCUUGGAGACAACAGUUGCAGUGAUUCAGUGAAGCAUCUUUCUUGCAAAUUUAAAAGUUAGUAAGAGAGCAAUAGUGUGAAAAUGAAGUCUACAAAUUGUAUUAUUUAGAGGAUACUCAAAUGAAGCUACGAAGUAUUAUGGUGCUUGAUUGGUAUGAAGUGAAGCCGUACGUCGAACGUCUGGAAACCCGAGAAAUCAUUCAUCUCUCCUGCCAGUUCUAAUUCUGAUUAGAAUCCGCAGGAAACGCUUGCUAGAAGAAGUUGAACAUCCCAUCUAAUGAAAUUGCCUAAAGAACAUGGUACCUUAUAGGGAGCAGAAAACAAGCAUAGGUUGAAAGUUGAGACUUUUUCGCAAAACUAAAAUGCUAUGACGAAUCAAAUUUUGUUCCUAGUGGUGAGUUUCAAAUUCAUCUGGAAUCAGAUGAAACUUUUUGAACUUGGUAGAUGGUAGAUGAUACAUAAGAUGCACAUUGGACAUGAGAUUUGACCUUGUGUUAUAUAUGUCUAUACGUGCUAAGUCAUGAAUGUUGCAAAGGAAGCUCAGGCGAUAAUUAGUUUUUUCACUAUACCUAUGAGAACGAGUGUUGACAUCUUACAGGUUGAGCAUGUACUUUUAAAAUACCAUUGUGUAUUUGAAUGUAGUCGAUCAAUUAUAAUGAAUUAGUAGUCGUCAUUAUUCUGUAAAUGAAGGACUGACACAUAGAAUCUUUUUAUUUUUCUUAGAAUGAGUUUUUGAAGUAAUUAAUCAAUUAAGUGAAAGAUAGAUUAGGUAGACUUUGUCACAUCACAUGUGCUGCUUGUAUAAUGUUUAUCUGUGGUGAUAGUUCUUGUUUCAGCGCUAUUCUCGAUGGGUAUCAUCUAGUCCUGUUUUUAUAAAGCCUGGACCUGGAGGAUUAGGGGAGGUCCACUGAGCAUGAUUAGCAUUAGCAGCAUUUGUAGGAGUAAAUGCAGAAUGAAUUUCAUGUAGAUGAUGCUAGUAAUUAUUAGAGGUAAUAUAUUGGAUAGCAGAGUUGGGGUUAGGAGCCUGGCCGUUAAAAUUACUUUAUGAGUUUCCAAAGAACCCACAUAGUGUAACUUGCAUUACAUAGGCCGGCAGGCCUACAGUCACCAGCUGUUUGUGGGAGCAAGCACUUUAGGUGUUAGAAUUUGAUAUGUGUGAUGUAGAUUCCUCAGUAAGUGUUAUAUACAUUUGAUAAAUUUUUAUAUUUUGUCAGUUUCUCUUCUUUUAUGAUUUUAAUUGUGUAAUCCUUCCCAUUUUUAUUGUUGGGAUUGACCAAAGAGAAGUUUUGAUCAUCAUGGUAUACAUGCUUUUGUUAUUGAUGAGGAAGAAUUAUGUAAGGAGGACCGAUGGGAAACGUCAAGUUCAUGAGAAAAAAGUAGCAGGUCUACUCGAGCUAUGGAAUCAGGAGAGGUCCGAGAGGACAGAUAAGCAAGCUCUUAAGAAACAGGUUAUUGAUUUGUGGUGGUGCUGGCGCUAAAGGUGGAUCCAUCAGCUGAUAAAGCAAGAUAAUCUGUAUUCAAGUUCACCCAUUAUCAUUCUAUGCAGAGGUCAUAAACUCUGUGUUGGUUAAUUUGAAAUUGGAUGUUUUGACUUGCCUACUUCCAUUGUUUUCUUCUUGUAUAUACUCCCUCCGUCCCUAAUUAGAUGACCUAUAC